rnacentral:lncRNA from 1 species
UGGAGGUUUUUGAUUAUUAUUGUUUUCGAAAAGCAAGGAGUUUGACGGCAGAAUAGGGGGACGAAUUCUGUGAUAGUUGGCAAGGGUUGGAGCUUAUGAAUCACAUUCGUAUUUGGUUGAGGGCAAUCGCCGGAGAAAGAUUUCAAUGUAUACAUGGUAACAUAUAAUCAACAUAUACGAGAGAUUGUGAUGAUGUGUUUACAGGAUUAUGAAAGACUGAAGAUUUAUUCAAGAUGUGUUAUGGUCUGCGGAUUGUGGCACUGCUACCCGUUGCAAGUUACAGCAACGAUUUGAUAUGAUGGCCGGUAAAUCUCAGCGGAGAGUCUCGUGCUGAUAACGUGAUA